rnacentral:rRNA from 1 species
ACGCUGGCGGCAGGCCUACACAUGCAGUCGAGCGGUAGCACAGAGGAGCUUGCUCCUUGGGUGACGAGUGGCGGACGGGUGAGUAAUGUCUGGGAAACUGCCCGAUGGAGGGGGAUAACUACUGGAAACGGUAGCUAAUACCGCAUAACGUCGCAAGACCAAAGAGGGGGACCUUCGGGCCUCUUGCCAUCGGAUGUGCCCAGAUGGGAUUAGCUAGUAGGUGGGGUAACGGCUCACCUAGGCGACGAUCCCUAGCUGGUCUGAGAGGAUGACCAGCCACACUGGAACUGAGACACGGUCCAGACUCCUACGGGAGGCAGCAGUGGGGAAUAUUGCACAAUGGGCGCAAGCCUGAUGCAGCCAUGCCGCGUGUAUGAAGAAGGCCUUCGGGUUGUAAAGUACUUUCAGCGAGGAGGAAAGGGUGUUGUGGUUAAUAACCGCAGCAAUUGACGUUACUCGCAGAAGAAGCACCGGCUAACUCCGUGCCAGCAGCCGCGGUAAUACGGA